UAGAUCCUGUCCAUUGACUCAGCAGGAUUGGAGAGCUUGCUUCUUAAUAAUCCUGCACCAAGUUAGAACUCAUGUCUAGGACAUCCUAUUCCAUCCCAUUGCGGGUCUGAUUUUCUUGUAAAGGUAGUUUUCUUAUUAAAACAGAAGUAUUGACAGAUGUUAUAUUCUCCUUCAUUACAGAAUGCAAGCCAAGUUCUACAGAUAUGAACAUUGGGUGAUAUUUCCCUUCUUUUUAUAAAGUACAGGUCUUACAGAACUCACUCCCUGUCAAAGUCAACUGGGGAAACAGAAUCUUUUAUCUUUAUUGGCAGAAGGGUUUAUCUAUUUCAUUUCCUUCUUCUAAGCUGGGGGACCAGUCCUCCCUCAUUUGUGGUUUCGCUUCCCACAGUUUCAGUUACCCAUGGUCAACCGCGAGCCAGAAGCAGAUGAUCCUCUUUCUGACAUACUCUCGGAAGGUCAGUAGCAGCCUAACACUACGUCACAAUGCCCAUGUCAUUCACCUCACUUCAUCUCAUCACACAGACAUUUAGUCAUCUCACAACAUUACAAGAAGUAGGGUCUGACAGGCAACUUUGGACCACAUCCAGUCUUGUUGAGGUGCCCGUGCUUCUAUCUAGGUUACUGUCUCUUGGAUUGCUCAUUCUGGGGGAAAACAGCUGCCGUGUGGUGAGGAAAGAUACACACAAUGAAGAACUGAACCAAAAACCAUGUGAGUGAGUCAUCUUGGAGCAGCUCCUUGGCAUCAUUCAAGGCUUGACAUGAUGGCAGCUCCAGAUGACAUUGACUGCAACAUCAUAAGAGAUCCUAACCAGAUCUACCCUGCUAACCUGUUCCUGGAUCUGACCUUUGGGAACUGUGUGAGAUAAUAAAUACUGCUUUAACUGCUAA